UGGGUCGGCUGGACGGUCGCGUGGCGCGAGAGCGCACCGAGGAACGUCCGGGCUCCACAGGGCAGGGCGGUGGGUAACACCCACCCGGAGUGAUCCGCGAGACAGUGCCACAGAGAGCAGACCGCCCCGGUUCCGACCGGGGUAAGGGUGAAAGGGUGGUGUAAGAGACCACCGGGGUCGUGGUGACACGGCCCGCACGGUAAACCUCGCCCGGAGCAAGGUCAGACAGGGGAUGCCGACGCGGCCCGCCGAGUCCCCGGGUAGACCGCUGGAGCGGCACGGCAACGUGUCGCCGAGAGAGAUGACCGUCCACGGGGUUUCGACCCCCGGACAGAACCCGGCGUACAGGCCGGCCCAUUCG
rnacentral:RNase_P_RNA from 2 species